AUUGAACGCUGGCGGCACGCCUAACACAUGCAAGUCGAGCGGCAGCGAGACUAGUAGCAAUACUAGUUGUCGGCGAGCGGCGGACGGGUGAGUAACACGUAGGAAUCUGCCCUUAAGCGGGGGAUAACCAAGGGAAACUUUGGCUAAUACCGCAUAAUCUCGAGAGAGCAAAGCUGCCCGCAAGGGUGGCACUUGAGGAGGAGCCUGCGUCCGAUUAGCUAGUUGGUGGGGUAAUGGCCUACCAAGGCGAUGAUCGGUAACCGGUCUGAGAGGACGACCAGUCGCACUGGGACUGAGACACGGCCCAGACUCCUACGGGAGGCAGCAGUGGGGAAUAUUGGACAAUGGGGGCAACCCUGAUCCAGCGAUGCCGCGUGAGUGAAGAGGGCCUUCGGGUCGUAAAGCUCUUUAGGUUGGGAAGAAGGGUAUUGGCUGAAUAAUCCAGUACUUUGACGGUACCGACAGAAUAAGCACCGGCAAACUCUGUGCCAGCCGCCGCCGUAAAAC
rnacentral:rRNA from 1 species